rnacentral:lncRNA from 1 species
GAAAGAGAACUCUGUUGGAUGGUAAUGUAAGAGGACUCUGUCUACAGAAAUAAGGAUGAUUUGCCUUGUGUAGCUCUUUAUGUUCUGAGAUGAGCAGAUGACAGAUUGGGAUGCUGGAGAUUUUGAAUGUGCACACCGCUGGGAAGACCACGCCAAUUGGCUUACACGCCGAAUUCAAGGAGGAUUUUGUAAAACUUUCCUGCUAAUUUGAAAGAGCUGCACCACAGAACACAGUAUAUGGUUCAAAGUACACAGUACGUAUUGGUGUGCCUGAUUGAGACUCAGGUGUACAAAGCCAUGAGCGAAGUUCAGAACUCCAGUGCUUCUCUGAGAUGAUGCCUCAGUGGAGCCUCUGGCCCUUCAGGAAAAGAAGUUGCUGCUCUCAGGAGCUCUUUCCAGUAGGCUCCCCCAGUCAGCUAGAGCAGUGGCCAUAAUCAAGGGGCACUCGUUCUGGUUCUGAC